rnacentral:rRNA from 1 species
AUUGAACGCUGGCGGCAUGCUUUACACAUGCAAGUCGAACGGUAACAGGCCGCCAGGUGCUGACGAGUGGCGAACGGGUGAGUAAUGCAUCGGAACGUGCCCAGUCGCGGGGGAUAACGCAGCGAAAGCUGUGCUAAUACCGCAUACGAUCUAUGGAUGAAAGCGGGGGACCGCAAGGCCUCGCGCGAUUGGAGCGGACGAUGUCAGAUUAGGUAGUUGGUGGGGUAAAGGCCUACCAAGCCAACGAUCUGUAGCUGGUCUGAGAGGACGACCUGCCACACUGGGACUGAGACACGGCCCAGACUCCUACGGGAGGCCGCAGUGGGGAAUUUUGGACAAUGGGCGCAAGCCUGAUCCAGCAAUGCCGCGUGCAGGAAGAAGGCCUUCGGGUUGUAAACUGCUUUUGUACGGAACGAAACGGUCUGGAUUAAUACCCUGUGCUAAUGACGGUACCGGAAGAAUAAGCACCGGCUAACUACGUG